rnacentral:snRNA from 1 species
GAUCUCAUUUACAGAGAAUCAGGGCCUUAUCCAAGACCCGUAGUGGGAAUUUUUGGGUACCCUUACGAGAGUAGGGGUU